rnacentral:rRNA from 1 species
AACAAGGUCUCCGUUGGUGAACCAGCGGAGGGAUCAUUACCGAGUUAUACAACUCCCAAACCCCAUGUGAACCUUACCGAAUGUUGCUUCGGCGGGACCGCCCCGGUGCCUCAGCUGCCCGGAACCAGGCGCCCGCCGGAGGUCUUCAAACUCUUGUUUUUUGGUGGCAUUAUCUGAGUGGCGAAAGCAAAUAAAAUCAAAACUCUGAACAACGGAUCUCUUGGUUCUGGCAUCGAUGAAGAACGCAGCGGAAUGCGAUAAGUAAUGUGAAUUGCAGAAUUCAGUGAAUCAUCGAAUCUUUGAACGCACAUUGCGCCCGCUAGUAUUCUAGCGGGCAUGCCUGUUCGAGCGUCAUUUCAACCCUCAAGCCCCCAUUAGGCUUGGUGUUGGGGAUCGGCCGCUGCGGCUCUCGUCGCGGGCGGCCGGCCCCGAAAUAUAGUGGCGGUCUCGCUGUAGCCUCCUCUGCGUAGUAGAAACACCUCGCUCUGGAACUCAGCGUGGCCACGCCGUAAAACCCCCAAGUUUUACUGAAGGUUGACCUCGGAUCAGGUAGGAAUACCCGCUGAACUUAAGCAUAUCAACAAGGUCUCCGUUGGUGAACCAGCG